rnacentral:misc_RNA from 1 species
AACUUUCAGCAACGGAUCUCUUGGCUCUCGCAUCGAUGAAGAACGCAGCGAAAUACGAUAAGUAAUGUGAAUUGCAGAAUUGAGUGAAUCAUCGAAUCUUUGAACGCAUCUUGCGCUCCUUGGUUAAUCCAAGGAGCAUGCCUGUUUGAGUGUCAUUAAUGUCUCAACCACACCGUGAGGUGUGGCUUGGAUUUGGGGGUUACAGGCCCAGUCUGCUCCCCUGAAAUACAUGAGUGGUAACGACCUCUCCAUUAAGAUGUGAUACAUUAUCUGCAUCUGGUCGAGGGUUCUGCUGCUAUAUAAGAGUUGGAUUUGAUAAACUUGACCUCAAAUCAGGUAGGACCACCCGCUGAACUUAAGCAUAUCAAUAAGCGGAGGCU